UCAAUANUGANAGACGAUUUUGCUGUCAACCAUAGAUGGAUCCGCNCCGCAUUAGAUAGUUGGUAAGCUAACGGCUUACCAAGGCACACGACGCGUAGCCGACCUGAGAGGGUGAUCGGCCACACUGGANCUGAGACCCGGUCCAGACUCCUACGGGAGGCAGCAGUAGGGAAUCUUCCGCAAUGGGCGAAAGCCNGACNGAGCAACGCCGCUUGAGUGAUGAAGNUAAUUCGGAUCGUAAAACUCUGUUAUUAGGGAAGAACAAAUNUGUAAGUAACUAUGCACGUCUUGACGCUACCUANUUCAAGAAAGCCACGCUA
rnacentral:rRNA from 1 species